UCCGUCUGACGGCUGAAGACUGCAGGGCCGUCUCCACCAUCCUGAGACGCAGCAGACAGGGAACACAGCUCAUCCUGCAGGACUGUGAGGUUCAGGACAGCGGAUUAGACCUGCUGUUUCCUGUCCUACACAAAGUACAGCUCAGAGCCAGUAAAGCUGUCCUCCUCCAGCUGGUGUCCCUGGUUCCUGUGAACAGUGAGAGGGACACAGUGGGACGGGCCCUAACCCUCUGCAGAGCCCUGGAGGGAGAGCUGGACCUCAGUCACAGCUCACUGGAUCAGAGGGCCUGUGCAGCCUUGGCCCUGAUGCUGGACUCCUCUGAGAGCUGACAGAGCUGGAUCUCAGUCACUGUCAGCUCACUGACCAGCUGCUGCUCACACUCAGCGCGCAGCUGCACAAAGUACAAGUCCUUGAUCUGAGCCACAACAGCAUCACUGAUGCUUCGACUGACUUCUUACUCCAACUGGUCUCCAUCAACCCCUCCAUUCACACUGUGCAACUUUUCGGAAACAAAAUUGUGGAGAGGACAUCCUUUGUGAAAGACAAGAAGUUUGAAAUAUGGUGACCCUCCGUCAGUGUGGGUGGAAUCUGCCAAUCAGGGAAUAACUGAUCUACCUCUAACGAUCAUUACAUACUGACUCUGUGUAUGAUGGGAUCCGUUUACAUAGAGGCCAUGACCUUUUUUUUUUUUUUUAUCUGCACUGCUCCUUUGCUUUACAUUUCCCUUCUGAGAUUCCGAUUCUUUUUAUUAUUUCAUCAUACAUACAAAGGCGGUUUAUGAGAACUGAUGCAGUGGAAAGUAUAAAUACUCACAUAAAUAUCACAUUUACAGAUAAAACCCUGAAAUAAAUCGUACGUCAUUUUGUCAAAUAAGAAAUAAAAACAUGUUGAAUGCUGUGUUUUCCCCUACACACACACACACACACACACACACACGUAUUUGUGUCAUAUGGCAGCUUUAUUAAUGUUUCUCCAGGGAGACAGUCAUUUAUUGCUGGACGUGCGUGGGUGUCGUUACAGCGCUCCAUAAACGUGUCUAUAAAUAUAAAUGAUAGGUGCAUGCUGGGUAUGUUCAACUGCAAAUCAGAGGCAACUCACAUUUUAUUUACCUUUAAAUCUGUAUUCUAGUUAUGGAAAUUGAGCACAGCUGAUCACUCCCAGUGCAAAUAUCACAUGUGUUUUCCCAUUGAACCAUGAAGCUAUGUGCCGAUAGGAGAGGACGCUGGCGUGGUUUUUUUGCCGCUUCUCCACCGCUAUCCUACUUUCAGUUCGUUCUUGAACAUAUUUGAUCUCUUUAUACAUCGGUUAGCUAUAUAUAACAUCUGUCAAUAUUGGCUCCAACUGAAUCGCUACUUUGUUCAAGUAGUUUUCCGUUACCUAUUUGCUUUUUCUGCGUACCGGACCCUAGCCUGCUAGCCCGUUUGCUACCAGCCGUUGGCCGUCAACAAUCUCGUCAACUCCCUGCCGUCAGCUGGCCACGAACAUUGGACACCCUUAUCUCUGCACAACACAGCUACGGUGGGAAAAAAUCAAUUUGUUUCACGAAUAGUUUCUUAGCUGUCCCGGUGCGGAAAGCCCUAGUACCCGUGACCGCUACCUCUACAGCUAGCCACAACCUCCAGUCACCGGGUGGCUACAUGCUAACACUAGCAUUGGACCGUUCUCCUUCUUUUCAUCUCUAAAGGCCACUACUACACACCAACCUGAGACCAAAGAACGCGUACCGAAGGCGUCCCGACUUUUACGCCGCCCGCCUACGAACACAC